rnacentral:rRNA from 1 species
UACGUAGGGUGCAAGCGUUAAUCGGAAUUACUGGGCGUAAAGCGUGCGCAGGCGGUUCGCUAAGACCGAUGUGAAAUCCCCGGGCUUAACCUGGGAACUGCAUUGGUGACUGGCGGGCUAGAGUGUGGCAGAGGGGGGUAGAAUUCCACGUGUAGCAGUGAAAUGCGUAGAGAUGUGGAGGAAUACCGAUGGCGAAGGCAGCCCCCUGGGCUAACACUGACGCUCAUGCACGAAAGCGUGGGGAGCAAACAGG